UCUCCGUAGGUGAACCUGCGGAGGGAUCAUUAAAAACGUAUCCACGUACUACCUUUGUGAACUAGUUCUUUAACCCACAUUUUUAAACGCUUUGUAAACAAUUGUACCUCUUUUUUGAGUUUAACCGCUCAAAAACAAAAUAAACAAUUAUUAUUACAACUCUUAGCAACGGAUAUCUUGGCUCUC
rnacentral:misc_RNA from 1 species